GGAAAAGAGGAUGACCCCAUCCCACCCAUCUGGCUCUCUCUCACAUCUCACCCACCCACCACAUCUCUCUCUUCUUGGAAUAAUGGCGGCUGUAGCAUCUUUCACUGCCUUGCCUCCUCCAUCACUCCUCUCCCUUCUUCCUCCAUCUUCCUCCUCUACGUCCUCCCCUCCCUGCCACGAAACUCUCCCCCUCUCCCGCCUCCCUCUUCUAACAAUUCUCCCUGUCGCCGCAGGUUUUGCCACCAGGACUCCAUGAGGAGAUUGCGGCCGCGGGGUGUCCAGCCAGGGUGAGCACAACAACAACACCGGCAGUGCCGCGCUGGGCCAUGUAGGGAGAGGUGAGGUCCGGUAGGUGCACAGUAGCAAGGAGAGCACAGCAACAGCAGCACUCCAUUUUCUCUUUCCUUUUUUUCUUGAUUAAUUGCUAGUUUCCUUUUUUCCUGAUUAAUUGCCAGCCUAUUCGCACCGUGACAGAUGGAGUAGUUUCCACUGAUGUCCCUCCUCCUUUCCUCGAUUUAAUUGUCAGAUGCAUUGAUCAACAGAAUCGGUGUGAGACUAUUAAGAAAACGAACCCGGCUGAAUAUAUGUAUCUCAGUUGGAAGGUGCCUCUCUGCCAGAUCGUAGGUCAUGGGUUCGAACUCUGCUAUCUACUAUCUUUUGCUACUCGCUCGGUCCAGGACAGAUGAAAGUAAAAUAUUAGUAUGAUUAGUAUUUUUUUAAAUCUCAGCUGCCGAUCUUUGUGGUUAACAAAAAAUCAAUGGAUAUAAAGAGACGACAUAUGGAGAACUAUGAAAGCCUCCGUAUUUUAAUAUUAGGUAUAGAUUAUAUCACAAUACUUAUGUUGUUUCUGUCUUAUUUUAUAAUGUUUACAUGAAGAGGAAGAAUGCCGGCAGCUGGAAUUCUCAGUUAGAAAAGGAUCAAAUAUUAGAGACCUAUUCUGCACAACUCCAACGAGAACUACCAUGGUGUUGUUUUUGUGCAGAAAUAAGAGUUCUCGGAAUGGAAUAAAACUUUGCAAGGAUUUUUUAUAUCAAUAAAGAGAAUUUUUGGAGACAAGAG